GAUGACGCUGGCGGCGUGCCUAAUACAUGCAAGUCGAACGAGUGGCGGACGGGUGAGUAAUGUCUGGGCAACUGCCUGAUGGAGGGGGAUAACUACUGGAAACGGUAGCUAAUACCGCAUACCAUCGGAUGUGCCCAGAUGGGAUUAGCUAGUAGGUGGGGUAACGGCUCACCUAGGCGACGAUCCCUAGCUGGUCUGAGAGGAUGACCGGCCACACUGGAACUGAGACACGGUCCAGACUCCUACGGGAGGCAGCAGUGGGGAAUCUUGGACAAUGGGCGAAAGCCUGAUGCAGCCAUGCCGCGUGUAUGAAGAAGGCCUUCGGGUUGUAAAGUACUGUCAGCGGGGAGGCGUUACCCGAAGAAGAAGCACCGGCUAACUCCGUGCCAGCAGCCGCGGUAAUAC
rnacentral:rRNA from 1 species